rnacentral:rRNA from 1 species
GUGGGGAAUAUUGGACAAUGGGCGAAAGCCUGAUCCAGCCAUGCCGCGUGUGUGAAGAAGGUCUUCGGAUUGUAAAGCACUUUAAGUUGGGAGGAAGGGCAGUAAGCUAAUACCUUGCUGUUUUGACGUUACCGACAGAAUAAGCACCGGCUAACUUCGUGCCAGCAGCCGCGGUAAUACGAAGGGUGCAAGCGUUAAUCGGAAUUACUGGGCGUAAAGCGCGCGUAGGUGGUUUUGUAAGUUGAAGGUGAAAUCCCCGGGCUCAACCUGGGAACUGCCUCCAAAACUGCAUGACUAGAGUACGGUAGAGGGUAGUGGAAUUUCCUGUGUAGCGGUGAAAUGCGUAGAUAUAGGAAGGAACACCAGUGGCGAAGGCGACUACCUGGACUGAUACUGACACUGAGGUGCGAAAGCGUGGGGAGCAAACAGGAUUAGAAACCCGAGUAGUCC